rnacentral:rRNA from 1 species
UACAGAGGUCUCAAGCGUUGUUCGGAUUCAUUGGGCGUAAAGGGUGCGUAGGUGGCUCCAUAAGUCAGGUGUGAAAUCUCGGGGCUUAACUCCGAAACUGCAUUUGAUACUGUGGUGCUUGAGGACUGGAGAGGAGACUGGAAUUUACGGUGUAGCAGUGAAAUGCGUAGAGAUCGUAAGGAAGACCAGUGGCGAAGGCGGGUCUCUGGACAGUUCCUGACACUGAGGCACGAAGGCCAGGGGAGCAAACGGG